AAUCCAUUGCAUGCUAGUAUUUUUAGAGUGCAUUACUGUUUCAUCGAUUGAAAUUAAAUCAGGGUGACCCCCUGAGCCCUCCCGUGAGCUGUUUUUGCCUUCCUACAUGUGAUAAUGCUCUGGCUGCUGAAUGUGCCCUUUCCCCAGACUUGGUUUUGGAGUUAAGUCACCAUCAGUGGAGCCCUCUCUUUAAAAGAUGAAGAAAACAUUUGCUCCUUCUCCCUGGUUGGGGACUUGGAUGAGAUGAGAGUUCUACAUAUAGAUGGUUACAUUCUGUACCUGGAAAUUUCUACAAAAUUUCUUCCCACUAUCUCUCCAUCUGAGGCGGCAGCGUGCUCUCUUACCAGCAUCAGGAGCUCAGGG